UCCGAGUUGACCCCGGCAGUCUCCUACGAGUCCCCGGCAUAACCCGCUGGCAACAUAGGACAGGGGUUGCGCUCGUUGCGGGACUUAACCCAACAUCUCACGACACGAGCUGACGACAACCAUGCACCACCUGUGAUCCUGCCCCGAAGGGAAACCGUGUUUCCACGGCGGUCAGGAACAUGUCAAACCCAGGUAAGGUUCUUCGCGUUGCGUCGAAUUAAACCGCAUGCUCCGCUGCUUGUGCGGGUCCCCGUCAAUUCCUUUGAGUUUUAGCCUUGCGGCCGUAGUCCCCAGGCGGAGUACUUAUCGCGUUGGCUUCGGCACCGAGGGGGUCGAUACCCCCGACACCUAGUACUCAUCGUUUACGGCGUGGACUAC
rnacentral:misc_RNA from 1 species